rnacentral:rRNA from 1 species
CCUACGGGGGACAGCAGUGGGGAAUAUUGCACAAUGGGGGAAACCCUGAUGCAGCGACGCCGCGUGAGUGAAGAAGGAUUUAGGUAUGUAAAGCUCUAUCAGCCGGGAAGAAAAUGACGGUACCUGAUUAAGAAGCCCCGGCUAACUACGUGCCAGCAGCCGCGGUAAUACGUAGGGGGCAAGCGUUAUCCGGAUUUACUGGGUGUAAAGGGAGCGGAGACGGGAGCACAAGUCUGGAGUGAAAUGCCGGGGCUUAACCCCCGAACUGCUUUUGAAACUGUGCAGCUAGAGUGCAGGAGAGGUAUGUGGAAUUCGUAGUGUAGCGGUGAAAUGCAUAGAUAUUACGAGGAACUCCAGUGGCGAAGGCAGCUUACUGGACUUUAACUGACGUUGAGGCUCGAAAGCGUGGGUAGCGAACAGGAUUAGAUACCCUUGUAGUC